UACGGAGGGAGCUAGCGUUGUUCGGAAUUACUGGGCGUAAAGCGCACGUAGGCGGCUUUGUAAGUUAGAGGUGAAAGCCCGGGGCUCAACUCCGGAAUUGCCUUUAAAACUGCAUCGCUAGAAUUGUGGAGAGGUAAGUGGAAUUCCGAGUGUAGAGGUGAAAUUCGUAGAUAUUCGGAAGAACACCAGUGGCGAAGGCGGCCACCCUGGACGGUAACUGACGCUGAGACGGCGAAAGCGUGGGGAGCAAACAGG
rnacentral:rRNA from 1 species